GCGUUUGUGGUUUAGUGGUAAAAUCCAUCGGUAAAUGAUCCAAUCAAAUCAAGACGUCGAAGCAUAUCCUAACUUUCACAGUUGCCAUAAGUGUAAAAGGCACUUCAAGCUCGAUGGGCCCCGGGUUCGAUUCCCGGCGAACGCA